rnacentral:rRNA from 1 species
UACAGAGGGUGCGAGCGUUAAUCGGAAUUACUGGGCGUAAAGCGUGCGUAGGUGGUUGUGUAAGUUAGAUGUGAAAAGCUUGGGCUUAACCUGAGAUGGUCAUCUAAGACUGCAUAACUCGAGUGUAGGAGAGGGGAGCAGAAUUUCCGGUGUAGCGGUGAAAUGCGUAGAUAUCGGAAGGAAUACCGGUGGCGAAGGCGGCUUUCUGGCCUAAGACUGACACUGAGGCACGAAAGCGUGGGGAGCAAACAGG